GCUGGGUGUGGAGGCGUGCACCUGUAGUCCCAAAUACUUGGGAGGCUGAGGCAAGAAGAUCACUUGAGCCCGGGAGGUCCAGGCUGCAGUGAGUUGUGAUAGCCACUGCACUCUGCCUGGGCAACAGAGUGAGACCCUGUCUAAA
rnacentral:SRP_RNA from 1 species